CAUCUUCCUCUACUUUAUAUGUGGGAUGCCCGCCACAUCAUGGCUUGCCAAGCAGUGUCACGUCCGCACCGGGGAACUGAACCGGUGAACCCUGGGCCACCAAAGUGGAACAUGGGAACUUAACCACUGCGCCACCAGGCCGGCCCCAACCUGGGACCUUCUUAUCUACUCAAGUAACACCUUUUAGCACUUUGGAUCCUCCCUAUGCAAGGCACCCAUUGUCUCCUGCGGCCUGGUGGAAAACAUCCACAGCAUAGGAUGGAUCAUGCUUACUCAACUCUGGCUGGGAUAAAAUGGUUUUAGCUGGGAUAAAGCCUCAUUGUUAACUUCAGAAUAGGUAGCAUCUCAAUUCUAGAAUGAAGCUAAAAUUCCUUUCUUUCUAUCGUCAGCCACUAUCCAGGUCACUUCUUCCAGAAGUCCCUGUCUGCCCCCUACCCACUUGACUUUGGUCCAAAGGUCCUCUAACUAGGCCACAGAAUAGGCUUUCUGAAGGCACUGCAAAACCUGAAACACAGCAGGCAGCCUGUAAUUAGCAAUGAAGAUUCAUCCUUCCAUCAUUUUUGCUGGACUGUGCAGAACUUGGGUUCACUGUGUCUGCAGUUUUCAAACUUUUCUACUGAGCCUUUCUCCUGGUAGCUCUGGGUCAAAAUAAAAGGAAAAUAAUUUUAUCAUUAACAAA
rnacentral:lncRNA from 1 species